rnacentral:lncRNA from 1 species
GUGCUCUAUCGUCAAAGUGGCUUUCUUUGUCGCCAAAGUGAAGCCACCAUCACCAAACUCCUCUAGUUUCUGCCAAGAUUGUCCUUUGCAUCGCCCAAUUGUCCUCGCCCAAGAUCAAUAAUAACGCCAAACUCGUGUUUUCUAUUGCCCAAAUCAGUUGUGAUGUGCUAAAGUCUAUAGUCAUCGUCAAACUGGGCAAGAUGACCUCCUUCACGUCCUCUUCACUUCUUUGGACCUCUCACACAUUAUAGACCUUCUUUUGGGGUAGUCUAAUCUCUUCUAAAGCUCUUCCUUGCAUGAACAUGUCUUGUAAGUUCUAAAGGCCCUUUGCUUGACUUCUAGUGAAAGGCCUUGAGGGAUAAGUGCUACCCAUAUUUGUAUCAUCUUUCCCUUCUUAGAAAUG